rnacentral:rRNA from 1 species
UACGUAGGGCGCAAGCGUUGUCCGGAAUUAUUGGGCGUAAAGAGCUCGUAGGCGGUUUGUCGCGUCUGCUGGGAAAACUCGAGGCUCAACCUCGGGCUUGCAGUGGGUACGGGCAGACUAGAGUGCGGUAGGGGUGACUGGAAUUCCUGGUGUAGCGGUGAAAUGCGCAGAUAUCAGGAGGAACACCGGUGGCGAAGGCGGGUCUCUGGGCAACAACUGACGCUGAGGAGCGAAAGCGUGGGGAGCGAACAGG